rnacentral:lncRNA from 1 species
AGAACUGCACGAAACGUUCCGCAACUCGCUCAACGAAGGUACGAUUCACCGAAUCAAUGAUUUUUACACACAACCUGCAUACCUACUGCAGCUGGAAAGGGAACAAACAUGGUAAUUAUCUUAUCCUCUAACCAUUUCCAGUUGGAAGGAGCAUCCUGAACUGUUUGUGUCAGGAAGUAACAAGUCUUCCUCCAUAUCUUCGAGUUCCCUGAUCUCCUCUGCGACUGCCGGAGUCUGUGUUUCAGGGACGAAUAAUACAGGAAUUGCGGCCGCUGUGGUGGGAGGAACUUCCCCAGAUGAAGAUAAGUUCCCUGGGAAGGGUUGUGUUUUUGAGUCAUUUUGUAUUGAUGUAAAUCGGACAUUCUCAAAGCCGACCACUUUCUUUACUUGAAAGAUGGGAUUUGUUACUACUCGUUGCGAUGUUUUCAUCAGCGAUUCCCAGUACAUGUUCAUAUCAAUGGACAAUAACAGGCCAUCUUCAUAUAUUAUGUCACUUUCUACUGGGAGAAGAAUAAUGAGUUUUUGUCUUGGGAUGUUUGAGGUGAAGAGCCAACAAAACAUUAAUUAUAUAGGAAAUUCUGCAAUGGGAUUAUUCUAAACUCAGUUAAGCGGUAGUUUUGCCAGCUGUAGGAGUUUAGCCUCAUGAGUGCGAGACCACCUGUGCGUUUGAAUGACGUUUAGUUUGGUGUUUUUCCAUUCCAGAUCAACCGCGGGCGCAGCAAUACUGGAAAAUCCUUCCUUCAAGCACUGUUGAAGCCCUUCCUCAGUUGUUAUAUCGAACUUGGAGGCCAUUAUGUCAGAUAAACAAGCGGCUCCUUUUAGCAUUUACCGACAGGAAUAAGACAAACAUGCACAAACUUGUUUACCUCAUGCGACGGAUUCCUACUGAGCAAGUUAGAACAAGUAUCGAUGAUUCUGCCGCUUCAUACAGGAUUGCACAAAUCGCGUUGUUUAACAAAACUUGUCGAAAGUUGAUUGCACACGGGCUACCUACGAACGCCAUAAUAAAUUUAUUUAUUUUAUACCAGUUUGAUUCGAUAAAAUUUAUACAAUGAAACUGGGCAGGAAUAAGAAUGUAAUAAUCGAUAUAGUGUAGUAGAUAGGUUUUGAUUUUAGUUUUAUAUACUUUAAUUAAAAUAGAAAAAAACAAAUCAGCCAUCGCCCCUAAACCGCUUCAACAUCCCCAAUUUUUUCUGUGGGCCCUUCAUCGCCCUGUAGGCCUCUAGCGCUCAUAAGGGGGCGUUAUCGCCCACUUUGAGAAAAUCCGAUUUAGAGUAAACUUAAGCAGUUACUUGCAGAGAUCGGAAGAGCGUCG